rnacentral:rRNA from 1 species
UGGGGAAUAUUGCACAAUGGGGGAAACCCUGAUGCAGCGACGCCGCGUGAAGGAAGAAGGUUUUCGGAUCGUAAACUUCUAUCAGCAGGGACGAAGAAAGUGACUGUACCUGACUAAGAAGCCCCGGCUAACUACGUGCCAGCAGCCGCGGUAAUACGUAGGGGGCAAGCGUUAUCCGGAAUCACUGGGUGUAAAGGGUGCGUAGGCGGUAGGGCAAGUCAGAUGUGAAAACCCGGAGCUCAACUUCGGGAUUGCAUUUGAAACUGUCCUACUAGAGUGCAGGAGAGGAAAGCGGAAUUCCUAGUGUAGCGGUGAAAUGCGUAGAUAUUAGGAAGAACACCAGUGGCGAAGGCGGCUUUCUGGACUGUAACUGACGCUGAGGCACGAAAGCGUGGGUAGCGAACAGG